rnacentral:rRNA from 1 species
AGUGAACGCUGGCGGCAUGCCUAACACAUGCAAGUCGAACGAGCUUUGGCAGUUUAUCGUCAGAGUUAGUGGCAAACGGGUGAGUAAUACGUGGACAAUCUUCCCUCGAGCGGGGGAUAACUCCGGGAAACCGGAGCUAAUACCGCGUGAGACACGUCCUGGCAUCAGGAUGAGGUUAAAGCUCCGCAAGGGGCGCUUGAGGAGGGGUUCACGGCCUAUCAGCUAGUUGGCGGGGUUAAAGCCCACCAAGGCGACGACGGGUAACCGGUCUGAAAGGACGACCGGUCACAAUGGCACUGAGACACGGGCCAUACUCCUACGGGAGGCAGCAGUGGGGAAUUUUGCGCAAUGGGGGAAACCCUGACGCAGCGAUGCCGCGUGGUGGAUGAAGGCCUUAGGGUUGUAAACACCUUUUGCACGGAAAGACUUAGGACGGUACCGUGCGAAUAAGCUCCGGCUAACUACGUGCCAGCAGCCGCGGUAAU